UACGAAGGGGGCUAGCGUUGUUCGGAUUUACUGGGCGUAAAGCGCACGUAGGCGGGUUAUUAAGUCAGGGGUGAAAUCCUGGAGCUCAACUCCAGAACUGCCUUUGAUACUGGCAACCUAGAGGCUGGAAGAGGUUAGUGGAAUUCCCAGUGUAGAGGUGAAAUUCGUAGAUAUUAGGAAGAACACCAGUGGCGAAGGCGGCUCACUGGUCCGGUACUGACGCUGAGGUGCGAAAGCGUGGGGAGCAAACAGGG
rnacentral:rRNA from 1 species